rnacentral:rRNA from 1 species
GGGUCAGUAGGUUGGUCGUGCCACCGGUACGUACUGGUGUCACUGAUUCCUCCUUCCUGAAGAACCGUAAUGCCAUUAAUUUGGUGUUGCGGGGAAACAGGACUGUUACUUUGAAAAAAUUAGAGUGUUUAAAGCAAGCUAACGCUUGAAUACAUUAGCAUGGAAUAAUGAAAUAGGACGAUCGAUCCUAUUUUGUUGGUUUCUAGGAUUGACGUA